rnacentral:rRNA from 1 species
UACGGAGGGUGCAAGCGUUAAUCGGAAUUACUGGGCGUAAAGCGCGCGUAGGCGGUUUGUUAAGUCGGAUGUGAAGUCCCCGGGCUCAACCUGGGAAUGGCAUUCGAUACUGGCCGACUAGAGUACGAGAGAGGGAGGUAGAAUUCCACGUGUAGCGGUGAAAUGCGUAGAUAUGUGGAGGAAUACCGGUGGCGAAGGCGGCCUCCUGGCUCGAUACUGACGCUGAGGUGCGAAAGCGUGGGUAGCAAACAGGAUUAGAUACCCUGGUAGUCCACGCCGUAAACGAUGUCUACUAGCCGUUGGGAGACUUGAUUUCUUAGUGGCGCAGCUAACGCACUAAGUAGACCGCCUGGGGAGUACGGCCGCAAGGUUAAAACUCAAAUGAAUUGACGGGGGCCCGCACAAGCGGUGGAGCAUGUGGUUUAAUUCGAUGCAACGCGAAGAACCUUACCAGGUCUUGACAUCCUCGGAACUUGGCAGAGAUGCCUUGGUGCCUUCGGGAACCGAGAGACAGGUGCUGCACGGCUGUCGUCAGCUCGUGUCGUGAGAUGUUGGGUUAAGUCCCGUAACGAGCGCAACCCUUGUCCUUAGUUGCCAGCGCGUAAUGGCGGGAACUCUAAGGAGACUGCCGGUGACAAACCGGAGGAAGGUGGGGACGACGUCAAGUCAUCAUGGCCCUUACGACCUGGGCUACACACGUGCUACAAUGGAACGCACAGAGGGUUGCAACCUCGCGAGAGUGAGCCAAUCCCACAAAACGUUUCGUAGUCCGGAUCGGAGUCUGCAACUCGACUCCGUGAAGUCGGAAUCGCUAGUAAUCGCGGAUCAGAAUGCCGCGGUGAAUACGUUCCCGGGCCU